rnacentral:lncRNA from 1 species
CAAGAAUUACAAAAGCCAUGAUGUCCAAACUAUUCACGGUCAGCCAUAUGGAUCUUUUGCAUCAUUGAACUCUGUGUAAGAAAAUAUCUGUAGUUAAAUUAAGAGCAUUCAAAUCUCUUUCUAUUGUUACCAGUAAAGUCCCCUUCAAAUCUCCAACUAAACCAGCAAAUACAAGAUUUGACAAUUCAAAUGUAAGCAGGCCUGUGUGUUUUGAGGCACGAACAAGUCUCAAGUAGUGAAGAUAGUUGCUUUCAGCACUACAGCAGAGAACACACUAUGUUGACAUAAAGGUGUAAGGUUAUACCUAACCAAAUACAUUGAGAUUUUGGGUCUAUUUUGGGGUUUGGAGAUCACAUCAAAUUCUAGUUGUUUACUCAGCUUGUACCUUAGUGUGAGUCAGGUCCUUUGGAGCAUUUGGGGUUUUGUGUUGAAAUUUUCCGGUAUGGCCUGUAAAGACAAAGCAGUGGACAGUAUAAGAAAACUAAGAGGCUUGAUGAACCAAACACUUCAUCAAAAUAAGCAGUUGCUGUUGAGAGAGCUUCUUUUGGGAAACCUGGUAAGAUUAGUACUACUGAGAUGUAUUUUGUAUUAUAAUGCUUCACAUGAGGAAUAGUCAGGCUAGUGUAUGAUUCUAUUAACAAAUAAGUAUAGUUUUCUUUGACCAGUGACCCAAUUAUUGGCUCUGCUAUCUCUUGUUCUAUCUUUUCCAUGCGUUUUAUUUUUUUAGGACUUCCCCAGUUCUCUUUGCUCUAUCUAAAAGCAGCACUUUUGCUGUCUAGCUUAACAACAGUAUUUAACUUGCAUUCUGCAACUUCUUAUUUCUUUAAAGUAAAUGCGCAUGCAUACACGAUAUGCAUGCAUUUUUGCAACAUUGAACAUUUGAGAUUGAUAAAAUUUAUAUUAUUAGGUCAGUUCUAAACCAACUCAUAUCCGAGGGCUGGAAAUUAAUUGUCACUUGCCACUAAAUACACAUCUUUGGAAAUGUUUUAAUAUAAGAAAAUUUAUAAGACUGAGCACCAUGUUUGACCACAGUAUCUAGAUAACGAUCAAGUUAAGCGAAUUUAGAUAAAUAUUAGCCAAAAUUAUUUUUUAUGACCUCCAGUAUAAGUUACAAUGAUUGUGGACACUCUUAAUGAGUCUAACUUUGCCAAUAGAGAAGUAAGAGGCUGCUUCUUACGGAUCAUACCAGUACGAUCCAACAAGUACUGGGUAAGUCAGGAUUCAGAGCAAAGUCCAAAAAAGGUUUGCCAAAUUUAGAAUUCCAAAUUCGUAUAUUUUGUGAAUAUGGUUCCUUAUAUUUAGUCCAAAGUUUAAGGUUAGUCCACUUAUGGAUAUGCACUAUAUACAUCGCAGAUUUUACCCUUAUGCCUACUACAGAUUUCGAUUUGUAAUUUUAUGAUUUAUAUUUUUAUCGUAUGUAAAUUAGUCAGGGAUUGAUAUAUAUAAGGAUUUACUAAAAACAAGGGGAAAGAAAUGUCAGGAACAGUUAUGGAAACUACUUGCAGUUUUAAAACGCAUUUAUUGUGCUGUAAUGGUUCAAAAAGUCAUAACUCUUAGGAUAACUGAAAGGAUGUUUUAGCAUCCUUUCAAUGUCUAAAUAAACUCCGCUAUAUUGAAGAGUAAAGCAAUAAGAAAAUUCUAGUGCAAACAAAGCACUGAAUUCUACCGUUCUGUUUAUUUUCUAGUUGAGUUUUGAUUCUUCAAGUAAUCAAGAAGUGCAAUCUUGAUUAUUUCAGGUAAUAGGCAUUGUAUCCUUAGAGAUAGAAUUUCUGUGAAGCCAUCUGCAUUGUAGUGGGAAAAUUAUCUAUCUCGAAGAUAGUUUCCUAGAAAUGCCUUGCCUAAUUUUGUUUUGUUCAAGUUUUACUCAGAGCUAUAUUUCUACUACAACAACUGUACCAAUGUUCAAGAACAAAACAAGAUAAUUCAUGUCAUAGGAAAUUUGAAAUGUCAGAUAAAAUUAUUUUGAAUACCAAAAUGACUAAUGUUUCAACAAUGUAAAAAUGAAACCACAGUUUAUUAUGACUGCCAAGGCACAUAUCUACCAUCUCAUUGCGAAGAAAUGAAAAUGAGAAAAAAGGCACAGCAAAAUAUAAAAUCACGUCUAUGGAUGAAGAAAUCCAUAGCCAUGCGCAACAAAAAAGAACUAAGAGCUUCGAUGUAAUGAGCAGAGCAUGAAGAUACAGUGACAGCUCCUAAUAGCUUCUAGUACCUAAGUGCCCUCUCCAAAUCCCAUUAAUGAUGGCACCCCUUAGCCUCAAAAUUGAAUAUAUAAAUGCAUUCUCUAUGUGUAAUUAGUAAAUACGUGUGAAAAGGGGUCCAACAUUUCAUUACUGUGGUUCAAAGCAAGACGCCAGAACCAGCAUGCAUGUGACGAAGUUAUCCCAAGGGCAAAAAAUAGACAAGAAACAUGAGCUAUGCUCCCAUGUGUGGUUCCAUCUGAUGACUAAAGUAUGCAUAUUAUUAUGUCUAAGCAACAAAUAGGUAUCGAUUCAUAUUACAAAAUUAUUUGAUGUUCAUAACCGUUUGAGAACCGACUUAUGCGGCAAGCAACAAGAAAUUAAUAAAGGAUCAAAAGAUUAAAUAAAAUAGCAUGUAUUCCAAUGUGUAUAGGCACGGUCAGAUAUUAUGCAUCAGGGACUCAUUACAAAUUACCCCACGUAGUUAGCUACCUUUAGCAUCCUCGUCCCUACAUUUUAAAAGGUUAUAUUGGCAUCCCUAUAAUUACGAAAGUGAAACAUUUAAGCCCAUUUACCAUUACAACAUCGGUUUUCCUAACGAAAAUACGAAAACAAAAGGCAAAAAGAUUAUUUUAACAUUCCAAUUUGUAGCGGCAAACAACGUUGGUGGUGCCAGAUGACAGCGCCGCUGGGUGCCACGGGUGACUAUUAUGGAUGAGGAGAGCAGCAACGAGAGGUAAAGGCCGCUCUACAUCUGAUGUAGUUGUCGAUUGACGAGAGGGCCAUUGAUGCAAAUGUCGAGCGGCGCCGCUUAGCGUCAACAUCGACGCAGUUGCCGAGCGGCACCCUUCGACAUUUAUAUCGACCCUUUCAUCGCUCAACAACUACAUCGACGCAGAUGCAGAUGCAUCUAAAUCAGCGUCGAUGUAGUUGUCGAGCGACGAGAGGGCUACUGAUGCAAAUGUCAGGCGGCACUGCUCAACGUCGACAUUGAUGCAGUUGUCGAGCGACACCCUUUGACGCCGAUGUAGAUGCAAAGCGGCUAUUACCUCUCGCCGUCGCACUCCUUACCUACAACAGCCACCCACGGCCCUAGUGACACCGUCGUCCACAACCACCGACUUUAUCGGCUACAACUAAAUGAAAUAUUAAAAUUAUCUUUUUGCCUUUUAUUUUCAUAUUUUUGUUGGUAAAAAUGACAAGUUAGAGUAAAUAAACCUAGAUAUUGUACUUUUGUAACACUAGGGAUGCCAAUGUAAUUUUUUAAAAUGUAGGGAGCAGGAUGUUAAACCUAGAUAUUGCACUUACGCAAGAUAGGGAGUAGGAACUGAGGAUGCCUAGGUCUCUCCAAUAGGAGAGGGGAAGAAACAUUGCAAAGGAGGUGAGUCACACGAGGGUGGGGAUCAAAUUGCUUGUCUUAAUGGACCCAACAGGGGUUCAAUUUAGGUGCAACACCACUCGGGCGUGUGAGUGGGCUGCCCAGCGCCCAACCGGUGCUCACCUAAGCGUCGCACGAGUGAAAACGCCCGCGUGAUGUGCACGACAUGGUGCUCAGGCAUCGCCUCACCCGAGCGAUUAGGCAAGAGCCAAGCACCUAGUGUUUAGGUUAGAUAGAACUAAGGAGAUCUAACUUGAAUCUCACGACAUUUAAAAAAUAGAUAUACAACCAAUGUAGCUCAUAUUCAAUAAUCUUUCUGGGCCUAUGAUGAAUUUGGUUCAGAUCAGUGAGAAUAUGCCAAUAAAACCAACAAGUACAAACGACCACAAUGGUAACAAAAGCCAUGAGGUCCAAACUAUUUAUCAUCAUCCAUAUGGAUCUUUUGUAUCUUUGAACUCUGUGUAAGAAAAUAUCUGUAGUUAAAUUAAGAGCAUUAAAAUAUCUUUCUAUCGUUACCAGUAAAAUCUCCUUCAAUCACCAACAAAACCAGCGAAUACAAGAUUUGACAAUCCAAAUAUAAGCAUGACUGUGUGUUUUGAGGUAUGAACAAGCCUCAAGUAACGAAGAUAGCUGCUUUCAGCACUACGGCAGAGAACAAACUAUGCUGACAUAAAGGUGUAAGUUUAUACCUGACCAAAUACAUUGAGAUUUUAGGGUUUGGAAAUCAAGUCAAAAUCUAGUUGUUUACUCAAGUUGUGCUUUAGGGUGAGUCGAGUCCUUUGUAUCAUUUGGGGUUUUGUGUUGUUCUGGUG